rnacentral:lncRNA from 1 species
AAAAGACAAGAGGAAUCUUGGCCUCAAAAACUGAUAUCCAUCAUAAGAUCAUGGUGAAAUACAGUCUGAAGCAGGUCCAGAGUGAGAAGAGAAAAGAAUCACAGAAAUGGGGCUGGAGUUUCAACUGUAUUAAGCCAGAAGACUACCUGCCUCCAAACUUUCAAGAAGCCAACAAAGUUCCUGACUGUUUAAACUAAUUUGAGUUGGAUUUCUAUUGCUUGUAUCUAAAAGAAUCCUAACUGGCACUUCUAGAUAUCUGUUGAGGCCUGGAAGGGGCAAAACAAUUCAGGAAGCAGUUGAAGAUAAAGGGGUUUACCAUGGAAGAGAAGAUCCAGGUGCCUUCAUGGAAAUGCUUGUGGUUGAAAAGAGAUGAAGAUGAGGGUCCCUGGAAAGAGGAAGAACCAGCCAGGAAAAUUAUACCAUUAGCAAGACUGGCAUCAGCAAGUAGUUCGCAGUGUUGGUUGUUCUUGGUUUCGCAGGAUUUUAUAGGAGAUGGACCUUCUCCUAAAAGUCUUAUCUUCUAAGUCUCCUAAGUCUUGGACUUUUCAAGGCCAAAGAUUUAAAGGCCAAGUGGACCAUACGGGAGAUCUAGUUUCCCAUCCAGACAGCCAAGCUCAUGCAUCCCUGGAUUUGGAUGGAUGGUUUCCCAUGGGGCCUUGGACAGAUUGGACCCAGCACUGGCACAGGGUUGACUUGGAGGAAUAAGCUCCUGGAAACCUCAAUUAGCGUUUGGGGUAUGAACAUUAAACAAUACUGAAUCUGGAAACAAUACAUCACACAGCGGGUCCAAGGAAAUAAGCAGAAGGCUGGCAGCAGGCCAGGGCCAGGGGCCAAAUCGCUCCUCAAAGACAAUUCUUCAUGGAGAAAUGACAGCAGGUUUGAGGACAGCAGAAUUUCGCUCUUGUUGCCCAGGGCUGGAGUGCAAUGGUGCAAUCUCGGCUCACCACAACCACUGCCUCCUGGGUUCAAGCGAUUCUCCUGCCUCAGCCUCCUGAGUAGCUGGGAUUACAGGAAGUACAAAAACAUCCUUGCCGUUUGCUGGAAUGAUGUACUGCUGAAGGCAAUGGACACUGGGGUUGUUUGUCCCUAAUCACAAGUGAGCAAUACCAGAUCUAUUAUCUCAGGUUCAGAGAAGUGAGGUGUCUGACCUUCAGACAGGAUUGAAUGCAGAGUAAAAUAAUUCCAAAUAUGGUCUGGGCAUUGCAUGUAAUACAGAGUAAAAGUUAUUGUAAGACACUUUCGCCAGUUUCUGUCACUUGGUUCCUCAAAUGUUUAGUUCAUUCUAAUUACAUAAUCAGCCUUCUGAUUCAAUGAAGACUGAUGGGAUUGCUGACUUGCCACCCUGGAGUUCAGUUGGCAGCAAGUGAGGGAAAAGGUGAACUCUGUAAACAAGGUUUAGAAGCCCUUUUCUUAACUCUUUAUAAAACAGAGAAGAUGAGGAAGGAGAAAGGCACUGUCAUUAAGCUCUUAGCCAGGGAAUUACACAUACACACACGUGUGUGUGUGUGUAUUUCAACUCAAUGUACAAGGACUUCUCAGCCCAUAGCUACUUUGAACACAUUGUUUAUCCCCCAUAGCAUGAAGGACUAAAGGAACCAGAGAUUUCAUAAUCUCUGGCCUGUAACGUUUUUGCUGAAAUAUCUGCUGUUAUUCUAAUGGGGUUUCCUUUAAAGGUGACUAGUCACUCUUCUUUUGCUAAUUAAUUUUUUUUUUCACUUUGACUUUAGACAUUCUGAAUAUAAUAUGCUAUGAUGAAGCACUUUAUGCAAUGUAUAUUCCUGAGGAUUGCUGGGCCUCCUGUAACUAGAUGUCUGACUCUCUUGCUAGAUGUGGAAAGUUUUCAUCAAUUAUUUUCUUAAACAGGUUUUCUAAGCUUUUAAAUAAUCUUUCUUUCCCAUCAGGAAUACCAAUAAUUUCUAAUUUCAGUCACUUUAUGUAGUCCCAGACAUCUCAAAGGCUUUGUGCACUCCCUUUUAUACUUUUUUGUUGUCGUUAUCUUUGUCUUACUGGAUUAUUUCAAAAGACUUAUCUUCAAGUUCUGAGAUUCUUUCUUCUGCUUGAUCUAUUCUGUUAUUGAAGCUUUCAAAUACAUUUUGCAUUUCCUUCAAUAGUUUUUUUAGGUUUAGAUUUUCUGCUUUUGCUUUAUAAGAUACCCAUCUCCUUGAUACAUUUCUCAUUAAUAUCCUGAGUUAAUUUUCUAAUUUCUUGAAGUUGGCCCAAGGGUGGAAUGCAGCCCCGUGUUAAACUCUCAAAACUGUGCCUUGGGCCUGUGACCAGACAGAGCAGAUUUCUUCUCAAGUAAGUAGCAUAGAAAAGAGAGAUCCAAAUAAACACAAUCAUAAAUGAAAAAGGAGACAUUAUAGCUGAUAACACAGAGGCACAAAGAUCAUCAGAGACUAUUAUAAAUAACUAUAUGAUCACAAACC